rnacentral:rRNA from 1 species
GACAGAGGGGGCAAGCGUUGCUCGGAAUUACUGGGCGUAAAGGGCGCGUAGGCGGGAUGGCAAGUCGGUCGUGAAAUCCCUCGGCUCAACUGAGGAGCGUCGAUCGAAACUGCCGUUCUUGAGGGUUGCAGAGGAGACUGGAAUUCCCGGUGUAGCGGUGAAAUGUGUAGAGAUCGGGAGGAACACCGGUGGCGAAGGCGGGUCUCUGGGCAACUCCUGACGCUGAGGCGCGAAAGCCAGGGGAGCGAACGGG